UGAAAUCUAAGCUGUAACCAUGAUGGUCAUAGGAAGUAUUUUCCUCUUGGCUCUUAUUUCAGCUGCCCGGGGUCAGUCCCUCACCUCCUCUGAGCCAGUGGUCCAGAGACCAGGACAGUCAGUCACUCUGUCCUGUAAAGUACAGGGACUGUCUCUUGCUUGGCUCCACUGGAUUCGUCAGAAACCAGGAAAAGGACUAGAAUGGAUCGGACGCAUCGACAGUGGCACUGGCACAAUAUUUGCCCAAAGUUUCCAAGGCCAGUUUUCGAUCACCAAAGAUACUUCGCAAAGCACAGUUUCUCUGACAGUGAAGAGUCUGAAAGCAGAAGACUCAGCGGUUUAUUACUGUGCAAGAGAGACACAGUGA